UACGGAGGGUGCAAGCGUUAUCCGGAUUCACUGGGUUUAAAGGGUGCGUAGGUGGGUUGGUAAGUCAGUGGUGAAAUCUCCGAGCUUAACUUGGAAACUGCCAUUGAUACUAUUAAUCUUGAAUAUUGUGGAGGUCAGCGGAAUAUGUCAUGUAGCGGUGAAAUGCAUAGAUAUGACAUAGAACACCAAUUGCGAAGGCAGCUGGCUACACAAAUAUUGACGCUGAGGCACGAAAAGCGUGGGGAGCAAACAGG
rnacentral:rRNA from 1 species